AUGAACGCUGGCGGCGUGCCUAAUACAUGCAAGUCGAGCGAACAGACGAGGAGCUUGCUCCUCUGACGUUAGCGGCGGACGGGUGAGUAACACGUGGAUAACCUACCUAUAAGACUGGGAUAACUUCGGGAAACCGGAGCUAAUACCGGAUAAUAUAUUGAACCGCAUGGUUCAAUAGUGAAAGACGGUUUUGCUGUCACUUAUAGAUGGAUCCGCGCCGCAUUAGCUAGUUGGUAAGGUAACGGCUUACCAAGGCAACGAUGCGUAGCCGACCUGAGAGGGUGAUCGGCCACACUGGAACUGAGACACGGUCCAGACUCCUACGGGAGGCAGCAGUAGGGAAUCUUCCGCAAUGGGCGAAAGCCUGACGGAGCAACGUCGCGUGAGUGAUGAAGGUCUUCGGAUCGUAAAACUCUGUUAUUAGGGAAGAACAAAUGUGUAAGUAACUAUGCACGUCUUGACGGUACCUAAUCAGAAAGCCACGGCUAACUACGUA
rnacentral:rRNA from 1 species